CAUGCAUUGCUUUGUUGAUCAGCUGUUCCAAACUUCUGUCCGGAGGUCGGUGGAUCGUGGACGACGAUGAUGGCAAUCAAUUUAAGCUGUUGAUCUCACAGAGUGUGUUUACAUACGGGCCUCCAUCCAUAGCAAGCUAAUGAAGAUAGCCUGCUCGUUCUUCAUUCAACUAGACUUCUACACAGAGAUUGACAUGGUUCUAGAUGAACUGACAUACAGGCCUCCAUCUAGCUCCACCUGUGUACUAUAUGUACCACAUCUCUGCCUGCAUUACUGAUCCAGCAUCUCAUCUGUUGGAGUUAGCUACA